ACCCCCGAGAACAUGGAGGCGGCGGCGCGGCGGCGGGAGCGGGAACAGGAGCAGGAGCAGGAGCAGCAGCAGCAGCAGGGUGUGGCGGCGAAUGGCGGCCGGGCGCUGUCGCUGUCGCUGUCGGGGCAGUCCUACUGGCUGGACCUGUGGCUCUUCGUCCUCUUCGAUCUGGCGCUCUUCGUGGUCAUCUACCUGCUGCCAUGAGGGCGCCGGGCCCAGAACCACUAUCUAAUCACAGGAUGCACCUUAUGAAAACAAGCAGUGGAAGAGGAGGACCAUUUGUGCACUAUAACCAACCAGGCACACAACUCCACUUGCAUCUGAAUGCAAGAGGCAUAUAUAUAUAUACACUGUAUCGUAACAUAUCUCUGGCUGUAUCACAAGUGUUACUGUUCAGGUUUUUACCUGGAUCCUGUUUCUGUGUCCUAAACUGUGCCUUAAAGGUCACGUAAGACAGCUUGACCAUGCUUUUGUAAUUAGUGUCUAAAGGUUUAAGCAGAAAUGAAAAUAUGUAUUGUUUGAAUAAAAUCAA